GUGUGGACUCCGACUGCAAAACCUAAACCUAUAGGAGAGGGUCUGGGUGGGCAUCUAUCCGCCGGGACGGCUCUGGUGCGGGACGUGGACCCCACUCCACCUUAGGCUUGGCCCACUUAGGUGGCACCUCUGGAGCGGGGACCCUCGCAGCGGGCCCCGGACAGGCGGGCGACUCUGGCAGCUCCGGACAGGCAGGCGACUCUGGCAGCUCCGGACAGGCGGGAGACUCUGGCAGCUCCAGACAGGCGGGAGACUCUGGCAGCUCCGGACAAGAGGGAGACUCUGGCACCUCCGGACAGGAGGGCGACUCUGGCACCUCCGGACAGGAGGGCGACUCUGGCACCUCCGGACAGGAGGGAGACUCUGGCACCUCCGGACAGGAGGGAGUCUCUGGCACCUCCGGACAGGAGGGAGACUAUGGCAGCUCCGGACAGUAGGGAGACUCUGGCACCCCUGGACAGGAGGGAGACUCUGGCAGCAGGCUGGGGAGACAUACAUACCCCAACUCACGCCCUGACCAAACCAAAAUAGAGACAUAAAAGGAUCUCUAAGGUCAGGGCGUGACAUCAUCAUUAGAGUCGCAUCAUGUACACUUACAAUGUAUUAAAAAUAUCACAACUAAAGUUACAUAAAUAACUAAAUGAAGCAUAUUAAGCAUAGAGGGGACCUGUUUCUUUGUUACCCGCUCAAUACAAGAUAGCCACAUGUGCACACUCCCUCUGAAAUCAUUUGGAGAAAAUAUCCUUUCUAUUUGAUUCAGCUUUGUUCAAUUGCAUUCUUCAAUUUAUGAAGGAAUAUAAAAUAAUGCCACAAAAUUCUGCUAAAUGAACUAGCGUAGCCCACAGCCAUAUGGCAUAGCCAGAUUAGGAGCCAACAUAAGGAACUCAGAGUAUGCUAUUCUGUUCAUCUGAAAUGGACUACAUUUACUUCAUGUCAUGCCUCUAGACCUGUCUAAAACGAAUAUUGGAUUUAUUGUGACGGUGUAUGCUAUAUUAGAUGGAUUUAUUCGACUUUUAAAGUAGAUGACCAAAGGUCAGCAUCGGUGGCUUGUAGGUGUGGAAGCCUGGAGAUGUGUGGAAUGUGUUUAUGUUAAUUAACAGUCAAUAACAAUGAGACAGGCUGAUUACAUUUCGUGAACGCCACAGCCCGCAUAACAAUAAACAGCACUAUUUGUUCUAUUCCUAUAGAGAGGUAAAUCCUCUAGAGUCAUGUUACUAACAUCAUUUAAAGCAUUAUGGUGCAUUAAGCACAGAGUUGAGAGUUGUGCAUGUGCACACACCCUCCCUUCCUUUGCCUUCCUCCGACCUCCUUAUUACCAUCCUGCAUCCCUCCAGUGCCUUUGAAAGCCAAAGAAAACAGAAUAAUAUGUAUAUAUUUUUUUACAUGUCCUUAUUAGGUGAAUCUGUUGUUUCUUCUGUCGUAAAGCAUGCAGAUUAGCAACGAGAGGUGUGUGUGUGUGUGUGUGUGUGUGUGUUGCUCUUCAAGUUCCCUGCAUGGCCGACUCAUCCUAUCCCUAGAUGUGGAACAGAAUUUCUAAACAACACAGCAACACGCACACAUACGCACACUAGGGCUGUGAUGAUUCCAUGACGGCAAUAUGUUUUCCAUGAAAGCACGAAGCUGUAUGUAAAAUGUUGUGUGCUAUAGCUUGGAAAGUAAAUACAUGUGAUGUUUGUUUCCAGCGUCAGGGCUGUUUUCCUAAAGAAGUUCAAACCGCUUCGUGCUUUGUUUCCUUCCCACAAUAAUAACGAGUACCGGGAUACUGGUAUCAUCCCGACCCUAACACACACACACACACACACACACACUUUCAGCUGCUGUGAGGUAAGAAAAAACACUGAAAAGCAGAAAGUGCUUUUAGGAAGACCGGACAACCCCCACGCCAUGGAAAAAAUGGAAUGGUCUGAGGCUUUCUCAGUAGAAAUAGCCCAAGUAGCCAAUUUAGACAAACCAUAACUGCAUUCGUGACAUUUAAGCACACACACACACACACACAUACACACACAUACACACACACACACACACACACACACACACACACACACACACACACACACACACACACACACACACACACACACACACACUCACACACACACACACAGAUAAACUCCCAUCAUUGCUGUUAUUCAGUCUUCCUCUUCUUCUUUCUCUCUCCAUUCCGCUCUCCCCGUCUCGGUUGGCUGCACACCAUCACCCGGCUGAGGAUGAAAGAGAAUUACUCAUGCGUAUUAAUGGUGGAUGUUGGAUGUUUUAAAACGCCUACUACCAUAUAUAUCUAUCUCUUUACGUUUACAAAAAGGCUCUUCUUCUCACCAGCCAAGGGCAUGGUAGCUGCUGCAGUGCACUGCAUUCUUUACACACGCACACCUACACACACACACACACACACACACACUCAUACACUCAUACACGUUUUGUUCUUCUAUCCUUGUGGGGACCUAUCAUUUAUUUCCAUUCAAAAUCCUAUUUUCCCUAACCCUAACACCAACCCUUACCCUAACCUCAACCCGUAACCUAACCACUAAACCCUUACCCUAAUUGUAAAAUAGCGUUUGCCCUCAUUUCCCCAGAGAAUUGUCCUUGUUUCACUAUCCUUGUGGGGACUUUUGGGGAUUUUAAGUCCCCACAAGGAUAGGAGAACCAAGGCACUCUUUCUCUCUCUCUCUCUGACAUACACUGUGCACUGUGGUUUGUGUACUGGGCUUCUCUCUGCACUCCUGUCAUAUUUUAUUUAAGGCCUUUCUAAAUGUCUAUUUCCAGAUCCACAUCACUUUGUAUUUAUGAGCCGCUACUGUAUUUGUGGGAACAGAGUAAUUUUAACCAAAUAUUCCCCUUCUUCUCUCUCUCGUGCACGCACGCACACACACACACACACACACACACACACACACACACA
ensembl:lncRNA